GGGGAAUAUUGGGCAAUGGGCGCAAGCCUGACCCAGCAACGCCGCGUGAGGGAAGAAGGUCUUCGGAUUGUAAACCUCUGUCCUUGGGGACGAAAAAAAUGACGGUACCCAAGGAGGAAGCUCCGGCUAACUACGUGCCAGCAGCCGCGGUAAUACGUAGGGAGCGAGCGUUGUCCGGAAUUACUGGGCGUAAAGGGUGCGUAGGCGGCCAGGCAAGUCAGAUGUGAAAUCCCCGGGCUUAACUCGGGAGUUGCAUUUGAAACUGCUUGGCUUGAGUGCAGGAGAGGAAAGCGGAAUUCCUAGUGUAGCGGUGAAAUGCGUAGAUAUUAGGAGGAACAUCAGUGGCGAAGGCGGCUUUCUGGACUGUAACUGACGCUGAGGCACGAAAGCGUGGGGAGCAAAC
rnacentral:rRNA from 1 species